rnacentral:misc_RNA from 1 species
AAAGAAGCUAGAUCAAAUCUCCCAGUAUUCCCAAAAGAUCCAAGCUUUUAGAAUCGGAUUCCCUCUGGGUAGUAUUUAACAUUCCAAAAGGAAUAGGGCAGAUUCUAUUGAAUUUGAGAGAGAAAAUUAUCCUCUUUCAUUAGAGCAAAACAAAAUUUCUAACUCAGAUUUGCACAAUAGAAAAAGUCCAGGAAAAGGUCUAACCAUCAGAGACGUCUUCGCGAUCA